rnacentral:rRNA from 1 species
AAGAAGGCCUUCGGGUUCGUAAACCUCUUUCAGGAGGGACGAAGCCACUCGGGUUAAUAGCCCAGAGGGUGACGGUACCUCCAGAAGAAGCCCCGGCUAACUACGGUGC